CAGUCGCCACGGUAAUACAGAGGGUGCGAGCGUUAAUCGGAUUUACUGGGCGUAAAGCGUGCGUAGGCGGCUUUUUAAGUCGGAUGUGAAAUCCCUGAGCUUAACUUAGGAAUUGCAUUCGAUACUGGGAAGCUAGAGUAUGGGAGAGGAUGGUAGAAUUCCAGGUGUAGCGGUGAAAUGCGUAGAGAUCUGGAGGAAUACCGAUGGCGAAGGCAGCCAUCUGGCCUAAUACUGACGCUGAGGUUCGAAAGCAUGGGGAGCAAACAGGAUUAGAUACCCCCGUAGUCCCUGUCUCUUAUAC
rnacentral:rRNA from 1 species